rnacentral:rRNA from 1 species
UACGUAGGGUGCAAGCGUUGUCCGGAAUUACUGGGCGUAAAGAGCUCGUAGGUGGUUUGUCGCGUUGUUCGUGAAAACUCACAGCUUAACUGUGGGCGUGCGGGCGAUACGGGCAGACUGGAGUACUGCAGGGGAGACUGGAAUUCCUGGUGUAGCGGUGGAAUGCGCAGAUAUCAGGAGGAACACCGGUGGCGAAGGCGGGUCUCUGGGCAGUAACUGACGCUGGAGGAGCGAAAGCGUGGGGAGCGAACAGG